CCUACGGGCGGCAGCAGUGGGGAAUAUUGCACAAUGGGCGCAAGCCUGAUGCAGCCAUGCCGCGUGUGUGAAGAAGGCCUUCGGGUUGUAAAGCACUUUCAGCGGGGAGGAAGGCGUUAAGGUUAAUAACCUUGGCGAUUGACGUUACCCGCAGAAGAAGCACCGGCUAACUCCGUGCCAGCAGCCGCGGUAAUACGGGGGGUGCAAGCGUUAAUCGGAAUUACUGGGCGUAAAGCGCACGCAGGCGGUCUGUCAAGUCGGAUGUGAAAUCCCCGGGCUCAACCUGGGAACUGCAUUCGAAACUGGCAGGCUAGAGUCUUGUAGAGGGGGGUAGAAUUCCAGGUGUAGCGGUGAAAUGCGUAGAGAUCUGGAGGAAUACCGGUGGCGAAGGCGGCCCCCUGGACAAAGACUGACGCUCAGGUGCGAAAGCGUGGGGAGCAAACAGGAUUAGAUACCCGAGUAGUC
rnacentral:rRNA from 1 species